AUUGAACGCUGGCGGCAUGCUUUACACAUGCAAGUCGAACGGCAACAGGCCGUAAGGUCCUGUCGAGUGGCGCACGGGGGUGUAUAGCAUCGGAACGCGUCCCGUCCAGGGGGGUAACUAGUCGAAAGAGUAGCUAAUACCCCAUACGAUCUAUGGAUGAAAGAGGGGGACAGCAAAGCACCGCGCGAUUGUAGCGGCCGAUGUCAGAUUAGAUAGUUGGUGGGGUAAAGGCUCACCAAGCCGACGAUCUGUAGCUGGUCUGAGAGGAUGAUCAGCCACACUGGAACUGAGACACGGCCCAGACUCCUACGGGAGGCAGCAGUGGGGAAUUUUGGACAAUGGGCGCAAGCCUGAUCCAGCCAUGCCGCGUGAAUGAAGAAGGCCUUCGGGUUGUAAAGUUCUUUUGUACGGAACGAAACGGCUCUGGUUAAUACCCGGGGUUAAUGACGGUACCGGAAGAAGAAGCACCGGCUAACUACGUG
rnacentral:rRNA from 1 species